GUCUGACAUCACCACUACUCGCCAAAUCUUUCCCCCCUGGGCCCGCAUGUUCUAAACAUGGCGAACCAGUUACCCAAACUUUGGGCAACAGGUCCUUUCCAAAACCUCAUCUGGGGGCAGUCUUUCUCUGGGAAAAGAAGAUUAAACCCUUCUUCCAGGACACCAGGCAAGACUACAAAGGCCUGGAAACAUUUUAUUUCAGUGUAUACCUCUUAAAUAAAAACACAGACAGUACCCCUUCACCUGCAGAGGAACUUGAGCUUAUUCAAGCAGGACUUGGAUAAAGAACACUGACCAUGUUAGAGGACGUGAGUCAUUCCAAGUUCCCAAAAAUUACGGGGUUGACUGGAGGAUGGCUUCUUCAUAAGGCAUUGGGGGAAAUGGUAAAAGACGUCUCGCUGUGAUUUCCCCAGAUUCAGAAGGAUACACAGGAUCCCAGGUCAAGCCGGCCACAGGGGCUGGGAAAACAAUCCUCUAUAUUGGAGGAACUAGAUCUUAAUCCUCUUCCUGCAGAUGCCAGAGAAUUUGAAAAACAUGCCUAAGCAACAUGUCAUAUGUGCAACCAAAGCAUGCCAUUACAGGUGCUGGCUCUCCAUAUCCAGGUCUGCAAGAAUGGAUGUAUCUCUGGAUGAAAAGGAGCAGACCGAAGUUAUGUUAAUCUCUGAAAUGAAGCGAGAAGAGAUACAACAUGAAUCAUAUCCCACUGAGUGUGACUGGCUGUGCCCAAUUUGUCUGGUCAAGUUUCCUGUGGAAGAACUUUCACUGCAUGCAAGCCUUUGUGGAGAAAGCCCUGUGCAAUUCCCAGAGCACAGCUCUUCUGGGAACCCCGAGUACAGCUCUUUGCUCACCGAUGAUACAGCAGGCAAGAAGGGUUCUACAGUAAUGUUAUGUGAAGAUGAUGUGCUGAGGCUGCUUGCUGACCGAGUGGAUGAAGAAAAUCAGUUCCACAUUUUUCUUUCACGGGCCAAUCUCCUAGCAAGGGGGCUCAAACAGUGGCAAAGACAAAAGAAAGGUUCCCCGUCAACAAAUUUAGCCUUACUUUUAUUGGUGAGGCUGGAUUCGAGUGCUUUACGGAAGGAGUUUUUGACGGGACAGCUGGAGUCUAGCUCAAGGUGGCCCAGCCCCAUGUUCGCUAAGAGAGUGGUGCUACUCCUAUCUCGCCACUGGAUGUACUCAAAAUGUCCAAGGAUGAUGUGGAUGUCAUGGAAUUUGUCCUGUGAUUAUGCUGAGCCGCAGGGAAACGGUCUAUGGCCCAUGACGUGUACUCUGGUCAGAUGAGACAAAAAUGUUGCUUUUUGGCCAACAAGGAAAACGACAUGUCUAGCACAAACACAACACCUCUCAUCAUCCCGUGAAUAUCAUCCCCACAGUGAAGCAUGGUGGUGGGAGCAUCAUGUUGUGAGGAUGAUUUUCAUCAGCAAGGACUGGGAAACUGGUCAGAAUUGAAGGAAUGAUGGAUGGCGCUAAAUACAGGGAAAUUCUUGAGGGAAACCUGUUUCAAUCUUCCAGAGAUGAAAGACUGGGAAGGAGGUUCACCUUCCAGCAGGACAAUGACCCUAAGCAUACUGCUAAAGCAACACUCGAGUGGUUUAAGGGGAAACAUUUAAAUGUCUUGGAAUGGCCUAGUCAAAGCCCAGUACUCAAUCCAAUUGAGAAUCUGUGGUAUGACUUAAAGAUUACUGUACACCAGCAGAACCCAUCC